AGAUGAACGCUGGCGGCGUGCUUAACACAUGCAAGUCAAACGAACCACUUUAUUUGAUUUCCUUCGGGACUGAUUAUUUUGUGACUGACUGGCGGACGGGUGAGUAACGCGUGGGUAACCUGCCUUGUACAGGGGGAUAACAGUUGGAAACGGCUGCUAAUACCGCAUAAGCGCACGGCAUCGCGUGAUGCUGUGUGAAAAACUCCGGUGGUAUAAGAUGGACCCGCGUUGGAUUAGCUAGUUGGUGAGGUAACGGCCCACCAAGGCGACGAUCCAUAGCCGACCUGAGAGGGUGACCGGCCACAUUGGGACUGAGACACGGCCCAAACUCCUACGGGAGGCAGCAGUGGGGAAUAUUGCACAAUGGGCGAAAGCCUGAUGCAGCGACGCCGCGUGAGCGAAGAAGUAUUUCGGUAUGUAAAGCUCUAUCAGCAGGGAAGAUAAUGACGGUACCUGACUAAGAAGCACCGGCUAAAUACGUGCCAGCAGCCGCGGUAAUACGUAUGGUGCAAGCGUUAUCCGGAUUUACUGGGUGUAAAGGGAGCGCAGGCGGUGCGGCAAGUCUGAUGUGAAAGCCCGGGGCUCAACCCCGGUACUGCAUUGGAAACUGUCGUACUAGAGUGUCGGAGGGGUAAGCGGAAUUCCUAGUGUAGCGGUGAAAUGCGUAGAUAUUAGGAGGAACACCAGUGGCGAAGGCGGCUUACUGGACGAUAACUGACGCUGAGGCUCGAAAGCGUGGGGAGCAAACAGGAUUAGAUACCCUGGUAGUCCACGCCGUAA
rnacentral:rRNA from 1 species